rnacentral:rRNA from 1 species
GUGGGGAAUAUUGGACAAUGGGCGGAAGCCUGAUCCAGCCAUGCCACGUGUGUGAAGAAGGCCUUUUGGUUGUAAAGCACUUUAAGCGAGGAGGAGGCUCCUUUAGUUAAUACCUAAAGUGAGUGGACGUUACUCGCAGAAUAAGCACCGGCUAACUCUGUGCCAGCAGCCGCGGUAAUACAGAGGGUGCGAGCGUUAAUCGGAUUUACUGGGCGUAAAGCGUGCGUAGGCGGCUUUUUAAGUCGGAUGUGAAAUCCCUGAGCUUAACUUAGGAAUUGCAUUCGAUACUGGAAAGCUAGAGUAUGGGAGAGGAUGGUAGAAUUCCAGGUGUAGCGGUGAAAUGCGUAGAGAUCUGGAGGAAUACCGAUGGCGAAGGCAGCCAUCUGGCCUAAUACUGACACUGAGGUGCGAAAGCAUGGGGAGCAAACAGGAUUAGAUACCCGUGUAGUCC